GAUGAACGCUGGCGGCGUGCCUAAUACAUGCAAGUCGAGCGAACAGAUAAGGAGCUUGCUCCUUUGACGUUAGCGGCGGACGGGUGAGUAAAACGUGGGUAACCUACCUAUAAGACUGGGAUAACUUCGGGAAACCGGAGCUAAUACCGGAUAACAUUUGGAACCGCAUGGUUCUAAAGUGAAAGAUGGUUUUGCUAUCACUUAUAGAUGGACCCGCGCCGUAUUAGCUAGUUGGUAAGGUAACGGCUUACCAAGGCGACGAUACGUAGCCGACCUGAGAGGGUGAUCGGCCACACUGGAACUGAGACACGGUCCAGACUCCUACGGGAGGCAGCAGUAGGGAAUCUUGCGCAAUGGGCGAAAGCCUGACGGAGCAACGCCGCGUGAGUGAUGAAGGGUUUCGGCUCGUAAAACUCUGUUAUUAGGGAAGAACAAACGUGUAAGUAACUGUGCACGUCUUGACGUUACCUAAUCAGAAAGCCACGGCUAACUACGUG
rnacentral:rRNA from 1 species